UACGGAGGGUGCUAGCGUUGUUCGGAAUCAUUGGGCGUAAAGCGCACGUAGGCGGUCCAGUAAGUCGGGUGUGAAAGCCCUCGGCUUAACCGAGGAAGUGCAUUCGAAACUGCUGGACUUGAAUACUGGAGAGGAUCGCGGAAUUCCCGGUGUAGAGGUGAAAUUCGUAGAUAUCGGGAGGAACACCAGUGGCGAAGGCGGCGAUCUGGACAGAUAUUGACGCUGAUGUGCGAAAGCGUGGGGAGCAAACAGG
rnacentral:rRNA from 1 species